UAUAUAUAAUAUUAAUAUUAUAAAAAUAUCAAUAUCAGUGGCCACCGCACUGACUUAUCAAGUAAAACCUAAAUCAUAACUAAAGAAGAGCAAAGAGAAGCCGUCGCCUCACCCCUCUCCUUCGGUUCUUCGAUCUGCUGCCCGUCUCCUUCACCAAAUCAAAACCUAGCAUUUUCCUCACCUCUCUUCUUGACUUCUUCUGAUCUUCAUCGUAAAGAUGUUAUGCUACAGAAUGCACAUGGAUAUAAGAAGUGGUCUUAAACGCUUCCUACUGAGCUUAUGCUCACCCCAUUAUUUUAAUCAUUUUUCAAGAUACGGAAAAGAGGUGGCGGAUGACGAUCCAUCACAAAUCUAGACGUGAUUGGAGAUCUAUUUUAUUUUGCUAACUUUUGUAUUAGAAUUCUAAUAUUUUGUAAAUGUAAGUUUAACUGUUUUGUGAAACUUUAGUUUAAUUGGUAUAAUGUUGUAAGUUAUGGACUUUUAAAUUUGAGCUACAUUUAUGGACUGUGACUUGAUGUAACUAAGGUGUGUUCUUUGUUUGGAUGAGAUGGAGGAACGAGACUUUUUAUAUGAAUGUAAUCAUUUUGGGAAUAUAAUAUAAUAAUUUUAUUA